GACGAACGCUGGCGGCGUGCUUAACACAUGCAAGUCGAACGGAACGGCCCUGCUUUUGUGGGGUGCUCGAGUGGCGAACGGGUGAGUAACACGUGAGUAACCUGCCCUUGACUUUGGGAUAACUUAAGGACACUGGGGCUAAUACCGGAUAGGAGUUCCUGCCGCAUGGUGGGGGUGGGAAAGUUUCGGCGGUUGGGGAUGGACUCGCGGCCUAUCAGCUUGUUGGUGGGGUAGUGGCUUACCAAGGCUUUGCCGCGUAGCCGGCCUGAGAGGGGGACCGGCCCCAUUAGGCCUGGGCUACGGCCCAGACUCGAACGGGAGGCAGCGGUGGAGUAUGGUGCACAGUGCGCGGAAGCCUGAUGCAGCAACGCCGCGUGCGGGAUGACGGCCUUCGGGUUGUAAACCGCUUUCGCCUGUGCCGAGGUGUGAGUGACGGUAAUGGGUAAAGAAGCACCGGCUAACUACGUG
rnacentral:rRNA from 1 species